rnacentral:rRNA from 1 species
AACGGAGGAUGCGAGCGUUAUCCGGAUUCACUGGGUUUAAAGGGUGCGUAGGCGGGAUAGCAAGUCAGUGGUGAAAGCCUUCAGCUUAACUGUAGGAUUGCCAUUGAUACUGUUAUCCUUGAGUGCAGUUGAGGUAGGUGGAAUUCGUGGUGUAGCGGUGAAAUGCUUAGAUAUCACGCAGAACACCGAUUGCGAAGGCAGGUUACUAAACUGCAACUGACGCUGAGGCACGAAAGCGUGGGGAGCAAACAGG